rnacentral:lncRNA from 1 species
AAAUAUCCGUUUGGAUGAUUCGUUGCCAUGGUGAUUUUCUUCCCACGAAUCGAUUAAAUCGGAGCUCUUGAUACCAGAUAUUGGAAACCCCCCAAAAAUCUAUGGAGAAUUUCAAUCAAUCUUAAUGAACAAGAUUGUUAUCACCCACACAAUAGCAAUGAAAAAAAUAAUGGAGAAAGAAAGAGUGUAAAGAACGAUGAAGGAGAAGAAGAAUUAAAAUUCUGCAGAUUUUCU